AUUAAAAAAAAAUUGCCGCUUAUGUCAAAAUAUUUUCCCUCUCUUUGAUUAAAAGCUCUCCCUCAUUUUUCCCCAAAUCUCUCUCUCAUUUUCCCCCAAAUCUACCGGCCUUUCUCUCGUUUUCCCUCAAAUUGACUCUGGUCGGCCGGCCGGCCAUUGCUACUCCGGUCGGCCAUUGCAGAAAUUAGUCCUAAGAUUAUUAGCAGCUUAUAGAAAGUGUUGACAUGGAUAUCAAGGAAAAAGAUCAAUUACCUGGGGUAGUUUGCCGAUGAAAUUAGCAGCAUUAGCAAGCUCAAUAGCUGCGCUAAUCUCCUCUUCAGUAGCAUUUUUAUCUCAAUUUCACCCUUGAUGUCUUCUAACACAAUCCCGCUCGUGAAAGAUAAGUCAAUCAGAGGUUUCCUAUUGAUUGUCUCAAAUAUUUUGUAUGCUGCAGCCUGUCCUGCCGCAAAUGCUAUUAUUCUGUCUCAUGAACCUAUCGUGGACUAUAAGAAUUUUCUUAGUAUGACGGAAGGAAGCAGCAUGUAGUUUUUCCUACAGGACUUAUGUUUCUCACCUGCAAAUGUGGUCAUCAUAUUUGGUCUCACUAAGUUAGGGGUCAUUUCUAUGCCAUAUUUGUUGUUGAAAACUUUAAUUUAUUUCAGUGGUAUAAAGGUCUUUAAAAAAAAGAUGAUUCAUUGAUGCAGUUUUAAAUAAUUUUGAAUACAAUUUCAGAAAAUAUUUUGUGAUAUAACAAACACAACACUAAUGUCCUUUUUCAAUUUUUUUGAGACACAUAGUGACCAUAAGAUCAUUGAGAUUAAAUUAGUGUAUUUUGGUUCAAAUUACGGUCUUUGGUUACCAGACUGUCCUUUAUGAACUUUGUGUAAUGUCUAUCUAGCGUACGUGUUGAGAUUUAGUUUGUUAAGAAGAAAAGACAUGACCUUUUAAAUUUUUCAAUUUUGUUCUUACAGUUGACAUGGCUUAACUCUCAUCCCGAGAAGAUCUGGCCAUAUGUGGAUGAGGUAAAUGGUAAUUCAGGCAGCAUCAGAACUAGUAAAGGCAAAUGUGGAGCCAAUUUUGGAACAAUAUAGGCCUGUGAUUUUGGCGUCGUUGAAAUCUCAAAGUUCACUCUCGAUACAGUUGCUCCACAAUUCAUAGGGAUUUUUAUUUUUAAAGAUGGAAGUGAGGGUGUUACCAUGGAAUUAGAGAUGCAAUGGGAUGGAAACUCAAGCAUAAUACUUGACAUCAAGACUUAUCUUGGUGUAGCAUUACUAGUGCAGUCAAGUGAUGCGGCUAGUGGACUGAUUUCGCCCAUGGUUGCAAGGAGUCCAUGUGAUGAUGGUGAUCCUAAUGACAGUCGUUGAUUUCGUUGAUGCGGCUAGUGGAUUUCUUUUUGAGAAAAUAGUCAAAAGCCCCCCCCAACCUUUAUCUCAAAUCCCAACUACACAUUUAUACUUUGCGGGGGUCCUAUGACCCUCCUAAACUAUUUUAAAGUGGAAUUAUUACUCCAAAAACCUGACAACUAGUCAUUUUGGAUAAGGUGUGAUGCAUGCGCCAACAACAUUUGACACGUAUUUUUUUGUUUAAAAUUAAUUUUUAUUUAUUUUCUUUUCCAUUUC